rnacentral:rRNA from 1 species
GAUAACGCUGGCGGCGUGCCUAACACAUGCAAGUCGAACGCCCUUGCCUCUCGCAAGAGAGGCAGGGAGUGGCGGACGGGUGAGUAACACAUGGGUGACCUACCCCCCAGUGAGGAAUACCGGCGAGAAAUCGCCGACAAGACCGCAUAGGGUCUCUGUGGUCAAGCACAGAGAGCAAAGUCUGGCAACAGACGCUGAGGGAUGGGCCUGUGGCCGAUUAGCUAGUUGGGGGGGUAAGAGCCUCCCAAGGCGACGAUCGGUAGCUGGUCUGAGAGGACGAACAGCCACACUGGGAUUGAAAACGGCCCAGACUCCUACGGGGGGCAGCAGUGAGGAAUUUUCCGCAAUGGGGGCAACCCUGAGGAGCAACGCCGCGUGCAGGAAGACGCUUUUCGGAGUGUAAACUGCUUUUCUGUGGGACGAGCGUGGACGGUACCACAGGAAGAAGCCCCGGCUAACUACGUGCCAGCAGCCGCGGUAAUACGUAGGGGGCGAGCGUUGUCCGGAGUUACUGGGCGUAAAGGGCAUGCAGGCGGUCGGACGCGUUUUCGGGUGACAGUGGGUGGCUUAACUACCCCGAGCGGUCCAAAGACGGUUCGACUUGAGGACGCGAGAGGGACACGGAAUUCCGGGUGGAGUGGUGAAAUGCGUAAAAUCCGG